rnacentral:rRNA from 1 species
GACGAACGCUGGCGGCGUGCUUAACACAUGCAAGUCGAGCGGUAAGGCCCUUUCGGGGGUACACGAGCGGCGAACGGGUGAGUAACACGUGGGUGACCUGCCCUCAGCUCUGGGAUAAGCCUGGGAAACCGGGUCUAAUACUGGAUAUGACUCCAUGACGCAUGUUGUGGGGUGGAAAGCCUUGUGCGGCUGAGGAUGGGCCCGCGGCCUAUCAGCUUGUUGGUGGGGUGANGGCCUACCAAGGCGACGACGGGUAGCCGGCCUGAGAGGGCGACCGGCCACACUGGGACUGAGACACGGCCCAGACUCCUACGGGAGGCAGCAGUGGGGAAUUGUUCGCAAUGGGCGCAAGCCUGACGACGCAACGCCGCGUGGGGAUGAAGGUCUUCGGAUUGUAAACCCCUUUCGGGAGGGAAGAUGGAAUGGGUAACCAUUCGACGUACCUCCAGAGCAGCCACGGCUAACUUCGUGCCAGCAGCCGCGGUAAC